UACGUAGGGGGCGAGCGUUGUCCGGAAUUAUUGGGCGUAAAGAGCUCGUAGGCGGUCUGCCACGUCCGCUGUGAAAACCUAGGGCUUAACCCUGGGCUUGCAGUAGAUACGGGCAGACUAGAGGUAGGUAGGGGAGAAUGGAAUUCCCGGUGUAGCGGUGAAAUGCGCAGAUAUCGGGAGGAACACCGGUGGCGAAGGCGGUUCUCUGGGCCUUACCUGACGCUGAGGAGCGAAAGCGUGGGGAGCAAACAGG
rnacentral:rRNA from 1 species